UACACUCCUGCGGGAGGCAGCAGUGGGGAAUUUUGGACAAUGGGCGAAAGCCUGAUCCAGCAAUGCCGCGUGAGUGAAGAAGGCCUUCGGGUUGUAAAGCUCUUUUGUCAGGGAAGAAACGGUGAAAGCUAAUAUCUUUUGCUAAUGACGGUACCUGAAGAAUAAGCACCGGCUAACUACGUGCCAGCAGCCGCGGUAAUACGUAGGGUGCAAGCGUUAAUCGGAAUUACUGGGCGUAAAGCGUGCGCAGGCGGUUUUGUAAGUCUGAUGUGAAAUCCCCGGGCUCAACCUGGGAAUUGCAUUGGAGACUGCAAGGCUAGAAUCUGGCAGAGGGGGGUAGAAUUCCACGUGUAGCAGUGAAAUGCGUAGAUAUGUGGAGGAACACCGAUGGCGAAGGCAGCCCCCUGGGUCAAGAUUGACGCUCAUGCACGAAAGCGUGGGGAGCAAACAGGAUUAGAAACCCUUGUAGUCCCAUGA
rnacentral:rRNA from 1 species